ensembl:lncRNA
AAACAACCUAAGUAGGAGCAAGUGUGGCUAUGAAAGAGGAUGCUGAAUUCUUGCAUGCCGUACAAACACCUACAUCAUUUAAUCUGUUUAUAAAUACUCUCCAUGUAAAGAUCUAAGAGUACUUUACAGUACCAGUCAGUUUUUACAGGAUCCUAUUCGGGAAAGUGAUGUCUUACCAAAGCCACAUACAGUGGGUUUUGUAGAGUGUUGUUAAUCACAGUACAGCCAGCAGCAAUGCCAAAAAUAAAUGCUGCUUGGGUGAAAGCAUAGCAAGGAGCACAACGUCUGUGCUGAAGGGAGUGCUGUGGAGAACUAACUGCACCAGUGCCCAUCUGUCCAUGCUUGUCUGUCAGUUUGAAUUGUAUCACAGCGUGCAAAUCUUUUGGUUUGUAGUUUUUCUUUGGAUGUUGUGACACCACAGCUACAGUUCUGCAUUGUCAUGGAGGUUGAGGUUCGAGCCCACGGAGCUGUCCUCCAACGCAACGGUGCCCACGCACAGAUGCUGGCAGAAAGGUUUAACCCAUGGAGCAGCAUCCCCCAAAAGAAGGGCAGUGCUCUCGUGGGAGGGCAGUGAGGAGGUACCCAGAGCUGUGCAACACGUUCCCUUUUCAUCCAGUCAACAGAAGCUGCUUGUGUAAAGGUGAGCGGGGGAUGAGGUCAACCAGAAGCCAUACAGAAGCGAGUUGAACGCCACAUCUUGCAG